rnacentral:rRNA from 1 species
CCUACGGGAGGCAGCAGUCGAGAAUCAUUCACAAUGGGGGAAACCCUGAUGGUGCGACGCCGCGUGGGGGAAUGAAGGUCUUCGGAUUGUAAACCCCUGUCAUGUGGGAGCAAAUUAAAAAGAUAGUACCACAAGAGGAAGAGACGGCUAACUCUGUGCCAGCAGCCGCGGUAAUACAGAGGUCUCAAGCGUUGUUCGGAAUCACUGGGCGUAAAGCGUGCGUAGGCUGUUUCGUAAGUCGGGUGUGAAAGGCGCGGGCUCAACCCGCGGACGGCACAUGAUACUGCGGGACUAGAGUAAGGGAGGGGGAAGCGGAAUUCUUGGUGUAGCAGUGAAAUGCGUAGAUAUCGGGAGGAACACUCGUGGCGAAGGCGGGUUCCUGGACAUUGACUGACGCUGAGGCACGAAGGCCAGGGGAGCGAAAGGGAUUAGAUACCCUUGUAGUC